AUUGAACGCUGGCGGCAUGCCUUACACAUGCAAGUCGAACGGCAGCACGGGUGCUUGCACCUGGUGGCGAGUGGCGAACGGGUGAGUAAUACAUCGGAACAUGUCCUGUAGUGGGGGAUAGCCCGGCGAAAGCCGGAUUAAUACCGCAUACGAUCUACGGAUGAAAGCGGGGGACCUUCGGCCCUCGCGCUAUAGGGUUGGCCGAUGGCUGAUUAGCUAGUGGGGGGGGUAAAGGCCUACCAAGGCGACGAUCAGUAGCUGGUCUGAGAGGACGACCAGCCACACUGGGACUGAGACACGGCCCAGACUCCUACGGGAGGCAGCAGUGGGGAAUUUUGGACAAUGGGCGAAAGCCUGAUCCAGCAAUGCCGCGUGUGUGAAGAAGGCCUUCGGGUUGUAAAGCACUUUUGUCCGGAAAGAAAUCCUUGGCCCUAAUACGGUCGGGGGAUGACGGUACCGGAAGAAUAAGCACCGGCUAACUACGUG
rnacentral:rRNA from 1 species